GUAGACAACUAACGUAAAGAGAGUUGAGUGUGUGCUUGUGUGAUGAUGAUACACAAGUAGAAACAAAGAGAGUGAGUGAGUGAGUGAACAAAAACAGAGUGAGAAAGAGGAGAGUUGAACAUUAACUCCUAUAUAAGCUAUAGCCGAAUAUAGCUGAACUAAACUAUUAUCGUUUUUUUAAGGACAAAACUUAGGUUCACCCCCUAGGGUAAAC
rnacentral:lncRNA from 1 species